CUAAAGGGAGUUUUAGUAUUCAUUGUGGUCUUUACUGUGUUAAAGCUUCAGAAUAAACAAAGACAAAUGCCAGUAAAUUAAACUGAAAACUAGGAACAAGAAAAGCAGUUUGUGUGUACUUUCAGGAAUUACGUAAUACCCCACAUGCCAUACAAUUGCUAAUUCAUGCUUUCUUUCUUUUGCGCCACUCAGAGGUUCAAAAGUGCAGCAGUGGUGAUGGAGCAUGACAUGUAAAGUACAGCAAACCUCUUAUUUUUUUUUAAUGUAAAGCAUUCUUAUGGUAAAAAUCCAUUAACUUCAAUGGGAGAAGAGACACUCCAGAAGACGGACUGUCCCAUGAAGGAACAUGAGCUAGUGUGAAAUGACUACAUUACUACUGGAAGACAGAAGAUCUGCCAGAUUAGGCGAGACACAGGCCACCGUCUCUGUGGACAUCAGGCCAUAGCUGCACACCAACAUUUACAGAAUGAUACUCUGUGUUUCCCAAGCUAAUUAUAAAUUUAGCAUCUAAAGGCGAGGUUGUCUCAACUUCUGUGCCUAUAAUAUGUUUGAACCUCCUUGUCUACUGCAAUGGGAUUCUGAUCUCCUACGGGUUGUAGACAAUUUU